GACAGAGGGUGCAAGCGUUGUUCGGAAUUAUUGGGCGUAAAGGGCGCGUAGGCGGCGACUAAAGUCGGACGUGAAAGCCCUGGGCUCAACCUGGGAACGGCAUUGGAAACUGGCUUACUAGAGUGCGGUAGAGGGGUGUGGAAUUCCCGGUGUAGCAGUGAAAUGCGUAGAUAUCGGGAGGAACAUCUGUGGCGAAGGCGACACCCUGGACCAGCACUGACACUGAGGCACGAAAGCGUGGGGAGCAAACAGG
rnacentral:rRNA from 1 species